AAAUUUUCAAGAUCUAACUCGACAUGGGAAGUAACAGUGAAUUAUACACAUGCUACCUGCCUUCCAGAGUAUUUUAAGUCACCAAAAGUAUCAAUAAGCUAUGCAUCCAUAUCCAAAACUUACAAAACAUAGCAGAGCCAAAACUCAAGGCAGUACAAAAAGUCAUCGAAAGUGACCUAUUUUGAGUAGUACAAUGUUGCCAAUCACAGUUUUUUUAGUUCUUCGUGAUAUUCAGUCACUUCCCAGCACAUGUGCCCGAAGGAUCACCUUAGAUGCAAGUAUGUAUUUCGUAAACACAGUACAAUAUUCUCACAAGUCAUUCUUGAACACUCAAAUUAGCCAACCUCUCUGCAUUCUGACUCUGAAGUAAUUGAACCCGAACCAUGCUCUUGCGCCAAUUCCAAUAUUUUACUCUCAUUGGAUCAGCAUGUUCCAAGAUGGAACAAAUUUUCUUUGUCAGUGCUAAAUCUGGUGAGCAUGACUGGGGAGUAAGAACAUCUACAGCACUUUUCAAUUCUUGGCUCGGUUCAAAAUCAUGACAAAGAAGAUCCAACAAGAACCUCAGAGCGUGCACAUGACUAUUUUGGGAGGUUAAGACGUCCAAAAGUACUGAUGCUACUUGAGAAUCCUGAACUAGAGAUUGUGUAUCAUUCUUGUAAAGACCACGAAGAUACCUCCAAGGACUUUCAUUCUCUGGACUAGCUCUGAUGGCUUGAACUGUGUAAUUCACUUCCAAUUCCCUCAUUGCCACUAGGCCCCCUAGUAGAGGUGAUCGUGUUACGACAAAGUAUCUCUGAUUCCAAGCAGAAUUGUUGUAAAUAUCAUCUUCAAGGAGUUGUUGACAAUAAGCAAGCUCAUCUUCCCAUCCUCCAAGUGCUUGAAGGACCCACUGCCGAUGGGACCAAGCAUGAUAAUUUUUUGCAUCCUGAGAAAAUAUUUUCUUGGUGAAUUCUAGCUCAUUUGUCACAGCAUCAGCUCCCAGCUUCUCAGCAAGCCACCGUCUAUGAUGCCAUAUUUGAUAAUUUUUGGUAUUCUCCCCAGCAAUGCGAUCAACAAACUUCAAUUCUUCACGUAAAUCAACACCCAAUGCCUCCAGCACAACACGCCUAAAUUGCCAUACAGUGUAAUUUCCAGGGUUUAGCUGAAUAGCUUCACCAGUAAGCUGGAGGGCGCGUGUAGAUCGCUCAUCGGCUACGUAAAUUGCCCGGAAGUAGUCCAUGGUUUCAGAGAAGUCUUCUGUGUAGGCUAUGGGAACAACCGGGCAGGGCCCGUCGUCUUGCGGAACGGGCUUCACAUCGGCCCAGUCGGGCCUUUCCUUGAAAGGAAUUCGCGUUUUCGUCACCUCACAACUGUCCAUUUGAUACUCGGCUCCGGGAUCCGAUCGGAAAACUGCCGGCGGUAGUUCAAUACUGGAAUUGCCUUCGGGGUAGCAGGAAUAUAGAAUUAAUAUUAACGU
rnacentral:misc_RNA from 1 species